rnacentral:rRNA from 1 species
GUGAACACUGGCGGUAGGCCUAACACAUGCAAGUCGAACGGCAGCACAGGAGAGCUUGCUCUCUGGGUGGCGAGUGGCGGACGGGUGAGGAAUACAUCGGAAUCUACUUUUUCGUGGGGGAUAACGUAGGCAAACUUACGCUAAUACCGCAUACGACCUACGGGUGAAAGCAGGGGACCUUCGGGCCUUGCGCGAUUGAAUGAGCCGAUGUCGGAUUAGCUAGUUGGCGGGGUAAAGGCCCACGAAGGCGACGAUCCGUAGCGGGUCCGAGAGGUAGAUCGGCCACCCUGGAACUGAGACACGGGCCAGACUCCUAGGGGGGGCAGCAGUGGGGAAUAUUGGACAAUGGGCGAAAGCCGGAUCCAGCCAUACCGCGGGGGUGAAGAAGGCCUUCGGGUUGUAAAGCCCUUUUGUUGGGAAAGAAAUCCAGCCGGUUAAUACCUGGUUGGGAUGACGGUACCCAAAGAAUAAGCACCGGCUAACUUCGUGCCAGCAGCCGCCGCGG